AACGCGAAGAACCUUACCUGGCCUUGACAUCCAGAGAACUUAGCAGAGAUGCUUUGGUGCCUUCGGGAACUCUGAGACAGGUGCUGCAUGGCUGUCGUCAGCUCGUGUUGUGAAAUGUUGGGUUAAGUCCCGCAACGAGCGCAACCCUUAUCCUUUGUUGCCAGCGGUUCGGCCGGGAACUCAAAGGAGACUGCCGGUGAUAAACCGGAGGAAGGUGGGGAUGACGACAAGUCAUCAUGGCCCUUACGGCCAGGGCUACACACGUGCUACAAUGGCGCAUACAAAGAGAAGCGACCUCGCGAGAGCAAGCGGACCUCAUAAAGUGCGUCGUAGUCCGGAUUGGAGUCUGCAACUCGACUCCAUGAAGUCGGAAUCGCUAGUAAUCGUAGAUCAGAAUGCUACGGUGAAUACGUUCCC
rnacentral:rRNA from 1 species